UACGAAGGGGGCUAGCGUUGCUCGGAAUCACUGGGCGUAAAGCGCACGUAGGCGGCUUUUUAAGUCAGAGGUGAAAUCCUGGAGCUCAACUCCAGAACUGCCUUUGAUACUGGAGAGCUUGAGUCCGGGAGAGGUGAGUGGAACUCCGAGUGUAGAGGUGAAAUUCGUAGAUAUUCGGAAGAACACCAGUGGCGAAGGCGACUCACUGGCCCGAUACUGACGCUGAGGCGCGAAAGCGUGGGGAGCAAACAGG
rnacentral:rRNA from 1 species